rnacentral:lncRNA from 1 species
AUUUUAAUGAGCAAUGUGUAGUUGAAAAUGAGUACUGUAGAAAAAAUAAUGUAGUAGAAUGUAAUAGAAUGAUUGACAAACAAAUGCUUAAUUGUGGUUACUUAUUAUCUCUAUGCUCAUUUAUCUGCACCGUGUUUUGAUGCCUUUUUUAUCCAAUAAAUACAUGCUCGGAUCAAGAUCAGUUGUAUUAUUUUUGCCCUUUUCUUGAAAAGUAAUCUUUAAUCUCUUCUCCAUAUAAUCAAGAAUUCUUCUAUGUGCGGGAUUUCGAUUGCAGACUCGUGAAUCUAUUACAUGAAUUGGAAGGUAGAUAGAACAGUGAAGGAGAAUCCAAGGAACAUCACAGCAUACGAAGACAUUUGACGGAUCAUAUGACCAUGAAAGUGUCAUCAUGAGAAUCCUCUCCUUCAUCUUCAAAUGAGUAAGGUACUUUCAGGGCCGGUCCUGUGAUUGUCGGGGCCCUAGGCAAAUUCCAUAAAUUAGGCCUCGGCGAAAUCAGCGUAAAUACAAAAUUCAAUGGCGUAUUAUGCAACCUAUUGCUAAUUUAAAAUAUACGGCCACAUGUUAACCAAUGUCCAAUAACCAAUUAACCAUGUAUUGCAUAAGCUGAUAAGCCAAACUUAUGGUGGAAAUAAGUAAGAAACAAUCAGUAGCAGUUUGCAUGAGACCAACUUGGUAAAAUGACCCUAAAAUUUUCAAUGUAAGUACAUCUCGACUGCAUGAAUAAGUUAAACUGUUAAGGUUACAUGCCUAGAUUAUUUGUUUCUAACUAAAAUAUUAUAAGGCUAGUGAACAGAAGGCAGAAACUUCAAUGGAUUUUUCUAAUUUUAAUGUUUAAGAUAGAUGUUUAUCAAUAUAACUAACUGUUGCGAGUUCAAAUUAUUUUGUUUUUAUUUUUUGCCCAUUUGAGAAUCUCUAUUUCAUCUAAUUCCUCAAGCAACCAUAUUUCCAGUAAACUGCUUUCCACAACAUAUUAGAAUUGCAAACUUCUCUCUGUUCACUAAUAUUUUAUUCUUUUCGUUCUUAGCAACGCAUUCACAGAAAAUAAACUGGAAGGAGGAAUCUAAAAUUUAAAAUUAACACUGAUCUGGAUUCUGCUUUACCAUAUUCCAUUUUUCUUCCAGGAACCAGAAAAAUAACUACAUGUUCGCAAAGCAAGAGGGCAAACUCGACUACUCACCUUCUUCUCGAGGAACCUUUGCCUGCGCCUAGGAUUGAAGAGUCACGUGCAGUCGAGCAAGCCCUGGGAAAAAUGGGGAUCCUGAUUUGGAAUUUUAGAUUUGGGAAUUUUGAUUCUGGGUAAAUGGGUAUUAUGGAUUGUGGGAUAUAUAUAAGUUGGGUUGGGAAGAUGUUGAUUGCUGCUCUUGGGUCAUUGGCAAUUGGGUCUGGGUGUGAGGCCUUUAACCAGAUACCUCGUCGAUGAAAUAAAUCAUCGCACCUAUGGUCCAACCAAUUAGGAGAGAAUCAAUAGAUUCCUUUUCGGGAUCUUAGAAGGUGUAAGAUGUGCUUUCGUUCCUUUACCUAUUUCUUUGCUUAUUUUCCAAUCUGUGCUUGUUUAGCGAGAUUGUUGUCUUAAAUCCUGAUGCCAGCGUUCCUAGCCUUGAAUCGGCGGAAAAGGCCCAUAUCUAUAAUUAUGAUUUUACGUAUGGACAAUUCCUCAAU